rnacentral:lncRNA from 1 species
GCCAAUGCGGCUCUCCGCUCUUCCGCUCUUGAGUCUCAACGGCAGGAAGUAGAUAGUGGCCCUAGGAGCCACGAGAGGGCGCGCACUGGAGGGGGGCCUUGUUGCUGCCUCUUGAGGGCGGCCGGCCAGUGUGUUGCUAAUGUUAGAAGGAGUUCCCAGUUGAGUUAGGAGCUCAUCUCCUGUCAAUCUCUUCGGAGGACUUGGGAGUCAGCCUGGGGACAGGAGCUGAAGUCAUGACGAAUUAACUGUAGUGUUCUGAGUUUUUGGACUACACUUGUUUUAUGUUUCACCUGCCGUAGAUUUUGUGCGUGGGUUGACUCGUGAACCAAGAUAAACGUUGAAAAGAUUUAAGAUGAGGAAAGCCACUUAAAUCCUUUCCAAAUAGUGAAGGGUACUGGGGCCCUUCUACCAUCCUCAACCAGGCAUAAACAGGUGAUAAAAUGAGACAAAGGAAGUUCCAUCAAAGAUGGAAGAUGUCAUCCGGCAAAGUCCUUCCUCCAGUCAGCCUCCUUGAAAGAUCAAAGUGGGUGCAACCAGGUUGCGUUCUCAACCUUUCUCAAAAAGUGUGCUUUGCCGCACACACUGCACACACUGCUCUUCCUUAGCCAGUCUCAUAAAAACGUGAGACCAGGCUCUGACUUCUCAGAGGAAGACACAAGACCCUUUAUGAAGAAUAAAACCCGGUAACACGACCACAUGACUUACCACAGUGCACCAUUUUGAAGAAUUAAAACUUUUGCCUGAUACCAGUUU